CGAUAUAAUAACAUUACAGCGGAGGGUCGUUUCGGCGGAGGAAGUGAACACGGUUGCUUAGGUUACCCACACUGUGCGCAAGUUCAGUUCUAUUUUGUUACCUAUUGACUUUUCGAAUAAGUUUUUUUUCCUUUACCAGUCGACGUCCGACGCCAUUUUAUUUUCUCUCAAAGUGCAAACGGCGCUUGGCGUUGAUCGCUCGCAUCUUCUGGUAGUCGGCUGCGAUUUUUGAGCUUUGGAUUUUCAUUUUUUUUUCAACUUUAGAGUUAAAAAUAAUAAUUAAAAAAACAGCUUGUGCAGUUUAGAAAUCUACCGGACAACGGCCACGGUUUAUUGUUGUCGAAUCAUUAACGAAAACCUCAAACCGGUCAACAAUGAGCUACUUGUUGUAUUAUAUCAUGAAAUACCACAAAGAGGCGUCGGCCAUUUUUUCUAUAACAAUGACGGUUUUGAGCCUUUAUGUGGUUUUAUCGUCGGAAAAUGAGACAAAUUGUGCACGAAAUGCGGAAAGGUUAUAUUAAUAUAACAGUCCUCCUCGUCACCAUAUUUGAUAAAAAGUAGUGUAAGAAUUUGCACAAAUCGCCACGUAGAUAGUGUUGUUAAAAAACUUUUUCCUAAUACUUGUUUGGCUGUCUACCAAAACGUGACCGGCUUCAGAAACUGCAAGUCAAAAUAGCUAUCCUUUUCUAAUUUUAAAGUGUUACCAGUACAAUUACAUAAUAAAUCAUUUGUAUUUUAUAAACUAUUUUUGACUUCAUAAUUUUACUUGAUAACUAUUUAUAAACUAAAAUUAAGGUACUAACAAUCAAUCAAAAAUGAAUGAGGAAGAAAGCAAAAGUUGUAAACAAGUAAAUGAUAAAGACGUUUUCUAUGAUUUUUUGGUAAUAACAUUAGGAUUCAUAAUAAUAACGCAUUUAACAUUGACGUACUUGCUACGCGAUGAAAAUCCUAAAUUCAAAGAACAAACGUUACACUUAUUAUUCAUUUUAUACAUAGAAUGCAUUUUUUUAUUAUAAUUUUCACGUUAAAUUUCAGUAAAUAUUUAUAACAGUCAGUGUAGUAUUUAUCCAGCACAUCAUUUAGCAAAUGUGCCCAAUUUGAAAUUUCAAUGAGCAAAAUUAUUAUGUAUCAUCGGGAAGUUUUUAGUUUCAAUGUUA